rnacentral:lncRNA from 1 species
UUCCGAAUUCCUUCCUGGGUUUUUCUCUUCACCCCUUAAUCUCAAAUGGGUCGUAGGCCAAACGACCCAGAAAACUCCCGUUUCGCCUCUCUUGUCCUCCUAUUGGUGGCUCUGUUCUCCUGUGUUUUUGUCUAUGCGGUCGUUUCUACACUCUUGAACCCCAAUGUAAAUUCUCAAAAUUCCAGCUUUCAGUAUCUGGAAGCGAUGGCGAGUGGUGAUUUGGGGGAAAGGAAGGGUGAGUGUUGCAGAGGUAUUGAGAAUUUGGAGCUGUGGGGUCCAGCUGUGAAGUGGGGGUCUGAGUUUAAGUUUAAUUCCUCUGUAGAAUGUUGUCAGGCUUGUAAGACCAUGUGUAGCGGCAAUGAUGGGCCCUGCUUGUGUGAUACUUGGGUUUUCUGUGGGAACAAGGAGGCUUGUGGGUCGAGAUUUGGGGAGGUGAGCUUUUUGCCUUUUUCAUUUUUGGUGGAUUUUUAACGGUUUUUGUAGGCGAGUCUGAAAUGCUGAAUUGGAUUGUUAGAUGUUCUUAGUUGAUUCACUUUACUUGAUGUUUUUGGUCGGGGUUGUUUGACUUGACGUGGUGAAUGCAUUAGCGUGAUUGAGAAUUUACUUUCUCUUCCAUUUGUUGUCUGACUAUUAAAGUGUUGCUGCUGAUUUACUUGGUCUAUUGUUUAAUGUGGUCAGAGCCUCAGUGGAGAAUGAAUAAAAGAUCUUUGGAUAAACAUUAUAAUGUCAUUUAAAGAUAUAUAAUUAAGGGGUGGUUAUUCAGAAAGCUUUUGUUUUUGCUCAAUAAUCUCGGUUUAUGUGGUUCAUUUCUGAAGAAGUUUAUUGUGAAUGAUCAAAGUCAAAAGAUACUGCUAUUGCUGUUCAAUCUCAAAUUACCAAGUGCAUUUUAAAAUGAAGAUUGGAGUGUUUUAUUUGCAUGCUUAGUCUCAUUCUAUUGUGGCUUAAUUGGUGGUGCUAAAGGUGGUUUAAUGAUCUAUCUGCUUUUGGUGCAUAAAGUAAAGUGAAUGUUAUUUUAAAUUUUGAAUGGCAAGAGCUAUAGUUUAUAUUUAUCAUUUUGUUCUUCCAGUGUUGGUUGAAGAAACAAAAGGACACUUUGGCCCCUGAUCGGCAAGAGGCAGGUGAAACUGUUAGUUGGACUUCUGGGCUGAUCUUCGGGAAAGGAGAGGUAUACAACAAAAGCUUGAUGAAAGUUCUUAUAUUUUCUUUUUCCAUCUUUAUGAUACUGGCUACAUACUGAUAAUUGUUGAGUACUUUUUUUUUUUUCUGUUGAUUUUUUUUAUAAGCAUAGGUCUUCCUUAAACUUUGUAUUGUUGAAAUCUCAUCUAUUUAUCAUGAUUCAUGUGAGUAACACUUAUCCAGCAGUGACUUCAUUCUUGUGUCUUCUCUGUUCAGGGCAUUGUUGAGAUGGAAACUAAAUAUGGUACUCUUCAUAUAAAAGUGAGUACUUUUUGUUCUAGGAUGCUAUGCUUCUACUGUUUUUGACAUUGUAGGUACUUUGCAUGAGUAUCAUAGAGUAUGGAACUGUUAGUUACAACUCAUUCAGAAGCUAUUAUCUUUUAUAUUGCUUCACCCUUUUUAGCCCCUUCUGCUUUUGCUGCGAGUUACAGUUCGAAGCAACUAAAAAGAAAGAUGAAUAUUUAUGAUCUUAGGAUUGUUACUUGUUAAUGUGAUUGGCAUGUGCCAUUUAGAAUUUUUUUCCCUGUUUCUUUAUUUUUUGUGGUUAAUGAAGGUGAUCCUUGUUGCGAAUUCACCAACUCAAUAAGAACUUCUCCAUAAAAGAUUUGGAGUUCAGCAUAGGUGAUAAAAAAAAUACAUUUAGGAAUUUCAGGAAAAGUAAUAGAUUAUUGCACUCACCAAUUAUUCGUUGUUUGAUGCAGCUUUUUCCCGACUGUGCUCCAUAUUCUGUGGCCUACAUUCUUGAGUUGUUAACAUUGCGGCAUUGCGCGGGUUGCCAAAUAGAUCGUGCUGAAAGCCGG